CUCAGUAUUCUGGUAUUCUAUGCAUCUUACUUUAGACCACCUCAGUUGGCUAAAUCUGCAUAAUUCUUUGUUUUAAUUAUUUUGUAUUUUCAUUUAUAACCAUUAGAAGUGAUAUUAGAUAUGCCUUGCAAGUGUUUUUUGUGUGGUUUCACUUAUAUUGUAGGAGGUGAAAUUAGUCUUCACAGCUGAGUUCCAUCCCAUAGGCGUGCAGAAUCCUGUUUUUUUUUCCUUAGAGCAUAUAUUCAACUUCCAUCGAAUCAACUUGAACGAGAAAAAUGGUUGCAGAGAAUUUCUUGGAACUGACCGAAGUUGGAGAAAAAAAUUUUUUCUUUGCUCAAAUCACUUCCCUGAGGAUUGCUUUCGACUAAUGAUCCUAUGAAAGAGGCUUAUACCAGGAAGUUUGCCUUCUCCUUCUGAAAUCAAAUUGGAAAUACCUCUAUAAGUUGUAACGAGAACUUAUUUUCAUAAUUUUUCGUAUUUAUUAUAAUUCCAUGCAAUGAAAAUCUUCCUCAGAAUAUCAUCAUCUAAUAUAAAAAAAUUUGUAGGACCUACUCAGAAGGGAAUGGAACUAUUGAAGCACAGGACAGAAUCUGAUUCUAAAACACAAGAGAGAUUUGAGACUUCAGCUACUUUUAACUCUCCUUCAAAAUGUGCAUCUUCUAGCUCUAGUGACACUAAGAACCUAAGGCUUAUCCAAGGAGGUUUGCCUUCGGAAAUUAAAUUGGAAAUACCUCUGACUCAGAAGGGAAUGGAAGUAUUGAAGAACAAGACUCUACGGAAUCUCUAUAUGAUUCUAAAAUACAAUCUCCAUCAAAAAAAAUAAUUGAGAUUUGACACUCCAAUUACCAAUGAUCCAGAAGAAACACUGACUUUAACCUCUCCUUCAAAAUGUGCAUCAUUUAGCUCUAAUGCCAAUUCUUUCUCUGGGAAACGAAGAAUAUCCAAAAUGAAGAUUCACCACGAAUUGAGAAAUCGACAGAGUGCAAAAUUAGAUUUGAAUCGGUUGAGAAGUAGAUUGACAAAAACUAUAUUUGAAAAUCAAUAGAAUUUUCUAAUAAUGUUUGAAACCAAUAAUUUUAUUUAUACUGUAAUUCUGUCAUAAAUAUAUACUGUUGUUUUAUUGAACCGAUAGAUUUUUUUAAUAAUAUUUGUAAACCAAUUAUUUAUAUUCUGUAUUUCUGAGAUAAAUAUAUUCUGUUGUUUUUUCUAA